GGUUGUGGCUAAGGGGUAGAGUACUUGCCUGGCAUGUGUGAGGCCCUGGGUUUGAUCCUCAGCACCA
rnacentral:tRNA from 1 species